rnacentral:rRNA from 1 species
AACGAACGCUGGCGGCAUGCCUAACACAUGCAAGUCGAACGAAGGCUUCGGCCUUAGUGGCGAACGGGUGCGUAACGCGUGGGAAUCUGCCCUUUGGUUCGGAAUAACAGCUGGAAACGGCUGCUAAUACCGGAUGAUGACGAAAGUCCAAAGAUUUAUCGCCAGAGGAUGAGCCCGCGUUGGAUUAGGUAGGUGGUGGGGUAAAGGCCUACCAAGCCGACGAUCCAUAGCUGGUCUGAGAGGAUGAUCAGCCACACUGGGACUGAGACACGGCCCAGACUCCUACGGGAAGCAGCAGUGGGGAAUAUUGGACAAUGGGCGCAAGCCUGAUCCAGCAAUGCCGCGUGAGUGAUGAAGGCCCUAGGGUUGUAAAGCUCUUUUACCCGGGAAGAUAAUGACUGUACCGGGAGAAUAAGCCCCGGCUAACUCCGUG